AGUCGAGCGCCCCGCAAGGGGAGCGGCAGACGGGUGAGUAACGCGUGGGAACCUACCUGAAGGUACGGAACAACUCCGGGAAACUGGAGCUAAUACCGUAUGUGCCCGAAAGGGGAAAGAUUCAUCGCCUUCAGAUGGGCCCGCGUCAGAUUAGCUAGUUGGUGGGGUAAUGGCCCACCAAGGCGACGAUCUGUAGCUGGUCUGAGAGGAUGAUCAGCCACACUGGGACUGAGACACGGCCCAGACUCCUACGGGAGGCAGCAGUGGGGAAUAUUGGACAAUGGGCGCAAGCCUGAUCCAGCCAUGCCGCGUGAGUGAUGACGGCCUUAGGGUUGUAAAGCUCUUUCGACGGGGACGAUAAUGACGGUACCCGUAGAAUAAGCCCCGGCUAACUUCGUGC
rnacentral:rRNA from 1 species